ensembl:snRNA U1 U1 spliceosomal RNA
AAACUUACCUGACAGGGGAGACACCCAUGGCCAGGAAGGUGGUUUUCCCAGGGCAAGGCUCAUUGAUUGCACUUGGGAUAUGCUGACCCCUGCGAUUUCCCUGAAUUCGGGAAACCCAACUGCAUAAUUUGUGGUAGUGGAGGACUGUGUUCGUGCUCUCCCCUG